UUCAACGGCAGAGUAAUGACCUAACAUUAUCACAAGAUGUCGCACUCUACAAAGUAAAAAGUCAAAGCUCGGCACAAAGUCAGGGAGAAAGUCAGUUCUUCAUUAUGUUAAAAGGGAUAUUGUUCUCCAUAUCAAACCACCCCAAACCACUUCUGCGAGUGAAGGUCCUGUAUUGAGUCUGCGGCAACAAAGACCCUCAUUCUGCCUGACACUGGAGACGUUGUCCUGGCUAAAGCGAGGUCUGUGUCCUGGGACGGAGAGUGAUGCCAGCCAGUAAGAGAUGAUCCAUGCGUCCUAGCAUAGUCUAGGUGCUGUUGCGAGCGCAGAUGAAACGCACCAGGCUGAAUCACACCAGAACCUUGUGCCAAAUCACUUUUGCUCAGUCAGUGCCAGACGUGCAAAACAGG